rnacentral:RNase_P_RNA from 1 species
AAAGCAAGUUGUUCUAUCGCCGCACCUUUUGGUGAGGAGGAAAGUCCGGACAAUACAGAGCAUCUCGCUUCCUAACAGGAAGGUCCUGAUAAAUCAGGAACGGAAAGUGCCACAGAAAACAAACCGCCCCGAUUUAUCGGAGUAAGGGUGAAAAUGUGAGGUAAGAGCUCACAGCCUUGUAUGGCGACAUACAUUGCGGUAAACCCCGGGAAUUGAAAGACCAAAUAGGUCCUGAGAUGAGGGUUGCUCGCUCUCUUCGCCAGCUGGCGAACUUAGGAUGGGUAGGUCGUUAGACCUUAUGAGUAAUCAUAAGGCUAGAUAAAUGAUAGAAAUCUGCGAUUGUCAGAUACAGAAUCCGGCUUAUAAACUUGCUUUUUUA